GACGUAGGGCGCGAGCGUUGUCCGGAUUUAUUGGGCGGAAAGGGCGCGUAGGCGGUGCGGUAAGUCACCUGUGAAAUCUCCUGGCUCAACUGGGAGCUUGCAGGCGAAACUGCCGUGCUGGAGUGUGGGAGAGGUGCGUGGAAUUCCCAGUGUAGAGGUGAAAUUCGUAGAUAUUGGGAAGAACACCGGUGGCGAAGGCGGCAACCUGGUCCUUGACUGACGCUGAGGCGCGAAAGCGUGGGGAGCAAACAGG
rnacentral:rRNA from 1 species